rnacentral:rRNA from 1 species
UACAGAGGUCUCAAGCGUUGUUCGGAUUCAUUGGGCGUAAAGGGUGCGUAGGCGGCGCGGUAAGUCGGGUGUGAAAUCUCGGAGCUUAACUCCGAAACUGCAUUCGAUACUGCCGUGCUUGAGGACUGGAGAGGAGACUGGAAUUUACGGUGUAAGCGGUGAAAUGCGUAGAUAUCGUAAAGGAAGACCAGUGGCGAAGGCGGGUCUCUGGACAGUUCCUGACGCUGAGGCACGAAAGGUCAGGGGAGGCAAACGGG